CAGAGAGGCCUGUAAUCUGCAAAAGCCAUUAUAAUAACCGUUACUCGUAGAGUAUAAGGGUAUACUAGAUUUGUUGAAAAGUGUAUUACUGGCAGAAGGAAGCGUUUCCGACCAUUGAUCAGGAUCAAUAGCCGAGUCGAUCUAGCCAUGUCCUUCUGUCUCGAUCUCAGGAACAAUAAAAGCUAGAAGGUUGAGAUUCAGCAUGCAGCUUCGAGACACAAUCACGCAGCGCAAGCUUGCCUCCAAAUGUUGCCACGUACACAAACCGGAUAAAACUGCCCCUUCCACAGUUAUGCAAAAUGUUUUAAAAUUUGUUCAUACUUCUAUUAGAAAUUUACAAAAUUUUUAUCAAUUUGACAACAAACUUUUUGCCACGGCCACGCACAAAAACUGCCCAUAACUGCCUCGCCCACAACUAUGCAAAAUGUUUUGAAAUGUUGUCAUUUAUUUGCCAAAAUACUUUUUCCCAAUCUAACCAUGAGAAACCGCAGAAAACUGCCACGCCCACACUAUUGAACAAUUUUUAAUUUUUUUAUAAUUUUAAUCCCCAUUGAUAUUCAAAUAAAAACAUUAAAUUUCGCGCUCGCGCUUGCACUAGCUGAGUUAGGAGUCUAAUAGUUGAGGACUCGACUAUAGCAUUCUCUCUUGUUUUUUAUUUUGCUAUGCUAUUUCAAAAAUGAUUGUUUUAUUUAUACAAUAAAAUUUAUUUCGCUUAAAGUUCCUGAAUGGAGAUACGUUUCGAAAAUUGAAAAAAGUCAAACCUAUUUAGUUGAGCGGCACUGAAUACCCGUCGAGGGUAUACAAGAUUUUUGAAAAGUACGUAAUAAGGUAUAGCGUUUCUGACCUUAAGUAUAUAUUUUUGAUCCAGAUCAUUACCCGAGUGCAGCUAGCCAUGUCUGUCCGUCCGUAUGAACAUGAAGAACUCGGUUACCAUAAGAGAUAGAAAAUUAGGAUGAACAAUAUACAUUCUUAUAAUGCCUACAUUAAAUUUAUUUCAACACAAGCACAAGCUCAAAGAAGCUGGGUUUGGAAAUAUCGAAUUUUUGAAAUUUAAAAGCUGGAAUGUUUGCCCACCAAUUAGUUUUUUUUUGCUCACGUCCAGUUUUUGAGAUAUGAAUUUUUGAAAAAGUUCGAAAAUUUUGGAAGAUCGUAAAUUUCACUUUUUUCAAUUUUUUUUUUUAAAUCGAAAUAACAUUGUUUGCCCACCCUUUAGAAUUUUGAAAAAAUGUAUACUUUAGAAAAUAUAAGACAUUCAAAUUUACCUCGGUCUACUGAGAGAAUAAAGCGUUUGACCAUCUAUUAAAACAAAAUAUUAUCAAUUAACAAUGUUUGCCCAACCAUUAUUAUUAGUUUUAAUCGUUUGCCCACCCUUAAGAAUACCUUUAAAAUUUUUUUUUUGUUAGCCCACACUUUAAAAAUAACAAAUUCCAUUAGCCCACCUCUUAAUACUAAAAAAUUUCGUUUGCCCACCCUUAGAUUAGAUUAGAAAAUUAGAUUUAAACGUUUUCCCGUCCUUUAAAAUUAUUUUUUUUCGUUUGCCCACUCUUAAAAACGAAUAAUCUCGUUUGCCCACUCUUAAAGACGAAUAAUCUCGUUUGUCCAUCCUUUAAAAUAAGUUUUUUUCGGUUGCCCAUCCUUUAAAAUUAGUUUUUAACGUUUAUUUUCAAAGGUUGGGCAUAAGUUUCUUAUAGAACAUUUUUAUUUUAAAUCAUAAUUUUUUUUAAACAAAAAUUUACAAAUCUCGUACUUUUAAAUUAAUGCUCUUAACGGAAUGUUCAGCUGUGCCAUUUCUCGUUUUUCUGCGACAGUAACGUUAUCAUCGAAUAGGGCCAAUGUGAUAUUUUCGUCUUCCAGGUACUAUAAAUAAUUACAUGUCUUUUUGAGCACUUCCAUUAAAAUCCUCUCGUCCACUUCUCUGUAGUUGUACAUAGCCCGAAUAAAUUGAAAGUCUCUAUUAGGAGCUUCAACGGCCAACGGGGAUCCAAACCACAAUUGUAUAUAAAAUUUCACUAUAAAAACAGACACAUCACGCAAAUACUUUUCUUCGUGUUUAGUUAAACGGAAGACUUCUCGAAAAAGCCGCUGCAAAGUUCUGGUAUUGAAUGCGUAUCAACAACCGCAGAAAUCAAAUACAUAAAUGCCUUAUUGGAAAUCUGCCAUUUGACCAACGAUGAAAGAACUCGGCAUGUUACUGCCUCUUUUUUUAGAGGAUAAUUCUAAAUCUGAACUAGUCCACAUCUUCUUUAACAGCAGACAAAACAUCACUGUUGUCACUUUCGAAGAUCUAAUGCAAGAUUAUAACAAGAAAUUAACAACUAAAGAGCUCGAAUAUUAAAAAUUAUGACAAAUCUGCCAUUUGACCAACGAUGAAAAAACUCGGAAUGUUACUGCCUCUUUUUUAAGAGGAUAAUUCUAAAUCUGAACUAGUCCACAUCUUCUUUAACAGCAGACAAAACAUCACUGUUGUCACUUUCGAAGAUCUAAUGCAAGAUUAUAACAAGAAAUUAACAACUAAAGAGCUCGAAUAUUAAAAAUUAUUACAAGUUGUCAAAGAGUAUACAAAGAAGUACCCAUUUAGCAGUAAGAAAUCGCUUAACAAUUAAUUAAUAAUAAAUCAUUAUAUAUUUUAAAUAUAUUUUAUAAUAUAAAACUAAAUAAAGAAUUUUAAGCAAAAAAUACAGCAUUUUAGCCAAAAAAUGCCUAUAUCAAACUUUUGGUUAAGAAAGCAUUAUCCGAUCGGGCUAAAAUUUUACAAAUUUAAGUUUUACACCAAAACGAACAAUUUGUGACCAUGAGACCUUUAAUUUUAGAUUUUUUUCUCCAUACAAAUAAGACGAAACCUACUGCACAAAUAUUAAGUGAGUCAAUGCUUAAAAGUGCUUUGUUAAAAAUAAACCAAUAAAUAAAAUAGUACACCAUAACACAAAAAAUUAAAACACA